AAGCAAAUCAAAUUUGUAAUUAUGGCAUAAUAGAUAAGUGCAGUAAUCAUGUGAUAAAUAUAAAUUCAGACGUACAGAGAGCUACAAUUUUUAAGAGAAUACAAUGGUAAGCUUUGCGUGUACUGAUGCUAAAUCAUCACCAACACACUAUCAACAGGGUAGGAGACAUUAUUGGUAAAGGUCAUCUGACGUUAACUACAAAUCUUUAACGAAAGAAGUCACUAUCGUCUAUCAAAUUCUGAAGGGAAAAAAAGAAACAAAAACAUGGGGAGAAGAUGAAGCAAAAACCAGCUCUAUGUCCUCACUUUGUUGCUGAGUUGAUUAUUAGAAAAUGCCAGAAUAGCGCCGAGUAUGGUCACACACACACACACACACACACACACACACACACACACACACACACACACACACACACACACAUACAUUAUAUAUGGUGCUAUCUGCUACUUCAAAGGAACAUGUGUGGGAUAGAUGCGCACAGGUGGGAAUCAAGGGUGUCACAAGAAAACUGCUCUUGUGCAAACUGCUCUUGUGCAAGGAGGCUGAGGAAUUUCAGAGAGUCCUACAAAAUAGCUGGCGAAGGCUUUUGAGGUAAUACUACUGGAAAAAUAAACUUGGAGGCGCAAAACUGUCUCGAGCUUGCAGUCGGGCCAUCUUCAUUGGACUUCCUUAGAGAGGACAUCACAACUUUAGUUGAUGAAACAGCUAGCAGCUAACCUUGUAAUCUGUGGCAGUUUCAAUUAUGCAAUAUACGUUAGUUUGCCGUUCAAUUCUUGGCUCACGCUAUAGUGAAAUUGAUCAUAUAGUGGUACUAUUGGUCCCAAAAUUCUUCUCAAUCUUGCAAUAGAUAGUGGUACUGCUGGCUUCUUCUUUGAAAGGAACUCUUCUGGUUACACUCCACAUAGCAGUCAUAUGCAUGAAUAUUUUCUACAGGCAUUCUGUCCAAGUAAACCAUAUUAAGCUCAUCUUCCAGCACUUGGGUAGAGAACAUUUAUCAUAAAAUCCGAUUGAUCUAUAUUAAGGGCAUUUAUAAUUUUACAAGUAAAGUGGAUAAAAGACUAAGCGGUUUACUGAAACCUCAGUUUUCAGAGCCAAAAAGAUAUAUAGAGUAGUUAUUUUUCAGCUUUAACAAUAGUUAAACUCAAAUUCUAAAGAAACACCCUUCCACAUCAGGAGGUAUAAGAACUCUGUCCCUCUUGGGACUAUAAGCACCAAUAUUUUCUAAAUUUUAAUCCAUCAAAAAUCAAUAUGCGGAGCAUUUCUAAUUUUCGAAUCAAAGGGUAUAUUAGAGCAGGAGAAAUAAUAAAAAUUUACAAAUAUACAACCAACUUGAAGACAGCUUAUAUGGACAUUUACACACUUGUAAGUACUUAUAUAAAGAAAUUAUAGUAAUCAGAAAACAUGUUAUACGAUGAGCCACCCGGAGAUCACUAUCAAGAAAACCAUGCAUCUGAAUUAUUAGUUGAUUACAGAACAUCAUAGGAGUAUUACUUAUCUAGGUGCUGCAGAGACCGCUCAGUGAAUCAAUGAGUGUGCCAACAUGGAAGAGAACAACUUAGUUUUAGAAGCAAUAUAUCAUCAAAUAAACCCAAAAAAGAAGAAUCAUAUUCAUUUAUACUAUGAAAAUAGAGAGGCAAGCAAGAAGUUCAAAUAUCACAAGUAUAACAUUCAGUCACCAUUUAGUCUUAUUAGUUAUUACACACUGUAAGUUUAUGGUAUCUGGCACCGAUCAGAAAAAAGUUUCAUGAUAUCUGGAAGAAAGAAAAAAAUUCUCUUUAAUUGGUCAAACUCGUAGUAUGUUAUAAUUUUUGUCCAAAGAAGCAACCACAAUCAAGAUUAUUUAAAAGCAACAGUCUUUACAAAAUUGGCUUCAAACAUCAUACGUUAACAGUCCUUAGAUUCUUCUAAUAACAAUCAUUAUAGUAAAUAGAAAGAUUCACCCAUAAGUGAACAUGAUCAAGCACAUCUUUCAAAUAUAUACAAUUUUGUUCUUAACUGAGAUUUGAUUUUGAUAAGUUACAGUUGACCAAAGAUCCCACUUGUGGGAUUAUAUUGGGUAUGUUGUUGUUGUACAGUUGACCAAAGUCUAAAGAGACUAAUCCAUACUCAUAAGAAAUUGAGUCGAUUCGCAUGCCCAGAAUCACAUUUAUCCUUCACGGUUUGUGAUAUUGCAAGUCCAUAAUGAAUAGAAUCAUUAACAAUUUGUUUUUUCCCGUCCACAAGAGAGGCACACUUUUAGAUACAACAACAACAUACCCAGUAGAAUCCCACAUCGUGGGGUUUGGGAGGGUAGUGUGUACGCAGACCUUACCCCUACCUUGUGAGGAGAAGCACAUUUUUAGAUGUCUAACAUUUUAUAUAAACCACUAUACCUAUAUAUCUUCUCAUCAUCCAUUACCUAAAAAUUUGCUAGCAGUGUCCUUGUCUUACAAACAUAAGUUAGAAUAAAGACCCAACAUAUGACUCCUUAAUGAAAGCUUAAGGAAUUUCCAUUAUACUACAAUUAUUAUCUACAAUAAUAUAAAUGAUAUCUAGAUUGUUCAUUCUUAAGCAGGGCCAUCUAGAAAGAAUAUAUUGAUUAUCUUUUUCUAAAGCAAAAGACGAACUGCACUAAUUUAAAUGAGUAUUUUAGAAAAAUUUAAAAGAUGAUGCACGUAUAAAUGCGUCAGGUUGAGUCGAAGCCAGUAAGAUAGGUACAAAAUUUUAAAUCUUUAGGAAUCAAAAUCUUGCAGAGUUUUUGAAGUAGCUAUUAACUUUGGGGAAUAAAAAGAAGAAAAAGAAGGAGAAAGAAAGAAGCAAACUUUUUUCCUCAAGUGCGGUGGUAGGAGCAAAUGCAAUUGAUAAUUUCCACGGUAAAAAAUCUAGAUUUACCUCUUGCAGACAUAUCAUCAAACACCAUGGCUGUAUAGUUCACUUCAACAUUCCUGUCAUUUUUUAUACAUCAGAUUUUCCGAUUUAAUUCUGUAUUCAUAAAGGACAAUAUAAUGUGCAGAUCAGGCACAAUUAGUAACAUCCAUGUACAAUUCUAGCAAGAGAGUAUUCAAAUAGAAUAGCAAGCUAACAUAUUGACACGAGAUUAUUUUAUUACAAAUAAAGAAAGCGCAAUGAACAAAUAAAGAUUGCAGAAAAUAACUCUAAAAAUAGAGAUGCCACACCAAAUACAAAUAGAGGAAAAUGGAAAAAUCUCUGGAGAUCUCUAAAAGAAUGAACACCCAAGAAAAAAAAAAGACAUCCAUUAUACUAUAAUCGGCCAAGCACAUACAUAUUAACACUCUCAUUCCACUAAAGAACCUAAUUUUAAGUAUUGUAGAGUUCUCAUGCUAAAAGUCAUCAUCGCAGACCCAUCAACAAAUUCACCAGAAUUAAACAAAAGUAAAUCACACAGCAGAGAUAACAUAGAACUGAAAUUAAGAAUUUAGCAAUUUGAAAAAGAAAUCCUCAAUCAAAGAAGGACAUGCACGAGUUUUGCUGUACAAAUAGGAAGCAAGGAACUCCACAAUUUACCUUUUCCAAUCUAUACAGAAAAGAGGCAUGCCAUAAAAUACCAUCUCAGCCCAUCAACAGAAAAUUUUUAAACUUUUUCAGAGUAAAGAACAGCGAGAAUAGAUCCCGCACUGAAAGGAAGCUUCGAAAAAAGUUAGCAAAUUCACCCAAAGAGAGAUGACAUUUUGAAGCUGUGAAGGAGAAAGGUAAUUCCAGAGAGAGCAGCGAAAGGAAGAGAAUUAGAAGAACAAAGGAG
rnacentral:lncRNA from 1 species